UAUGGGCAUCUUUCUCAGGUUCCAUCUACAGAUUCUCCCCAACUACGCUUUCCUCAGCCUACCGAGGGCGUUUAUGUUUCGAGUUGCGCCACGCCUCCUCGCCGCCUACACGGCAGCCGACAUCCAGGCGAAGCUGGAGUCGAGCGCGGCCCUGAAGCCCGUCCAGUCCAUCCGUGUCGUCGAUGUCAGCGCCGGCUGCGGCAGCUUUUUUAACAUUGACAUCGUAUCGCCGGUCUUCCAGGGCAAGUCGCUCAUUCAGCAGCAUCGUCUCGUCAACAGCGUCUUGAAGGAGGAAAUAAGCGCCAUACACGGCUUCACGCUCAACACCAAGAGCAAGUAACCAACCAGCAAAUGGUUUGUGUCGCCGUAUAUCGGGUGGGGGUAUCUCUCGUGUGUGCGUGUCUGUCUGUCUCGGGUGCGUGCGCAGGCGCACUGGUCUGCUAGCGUAGGUGAGAAAGCGGCGUUUUGUUCAGCCCCCCUUCCCCCUUCCUCUAUGUCCGUCAUGCUGCCUAAGCAUGUCUCCCCCUCUCCCUCCGGUGCUCCACGGGUGUGAGGGCUUCAUGGGUGGCGAAGGACGGAGUGGGGGUGCAAUGCUUGAUAAAGCUGACAAG
rnacentral:misc_RNA from 1 species